UGAUCAGUAAAUUCAGGAUGAAGAGAUCAGUGGUACUAAUUCUCAUAGCUGCAUCAGUUGCUCUUGGUGAUCGCAUUGAACCAGAUCAAGCUGUUAUUAUUCGAGAUGAAACCGACCGUGUGACAUUGAGUUGCUCGUAUGAAACAAGCAUACCUGAUAAUCUCCAUUGGUACCGUCAAUAUCCCAGAUCUACACCAAAGUUCCUCCUCUACAUCUAUGAAAGUGGGCUGAUGAGUGACAACAUACCACAGCGUUUAACGCCAAGAAUGAAUAAAAACACAAAACGAGUGGAUCUGGAGAUCUCUUCUGCUGCAGUAUCAGACUCUGCUGUGUACUACUGCGCCCUGAGGCCCACAGUGACAGAAAACAAAGCUACGCUGUACGAAAACAUGAAGCAGAGAGAAAUGUAUUUAACAAGUGAAGCACUGUGA